rnacentral:rRNA from 1 species
AGCGCAUACGGUGGAUGCCUUGGCAGUCAGAGGCGAUGAAAGACGUGGUAGCCUGCGAAAAGCUUCGGGGAGUCGGCAAACAGACUUUGAUCCGGAGAUCUCUGAAUGGGGGAACCCACCUAGGAUAACCUAGGUAUCUUGUACUGAAUCCAUAGGUGCAAGAGGCGAACCAGGGGAACUGAAACAUCUAAGUACCCUGAGGAAAAGAAAUCAACCGAGAUUCCCUUAGUAGUGGCGAGCGAACGGGGAUUAGCCCUUAAGCUUCAUUGAUUUUAGCGGAACGCUCUGGAAAGUGCGGCCAUAGUGGGUGAUAGCCCCGUACGCGAAAGGAUCUUUGAAGUGAAAUCGAGUAGGACGGAGCACGAGAAACUUUGUCUGAACAUGGGGGGACCAUCCUCCAAGGCUAAAUACUACUGACUGACCGAUAGUGAACCAGUACCGUGAGGGAAAGGCGAAAAGAACCCCGGAGAGGGGAGUGAAAUAGAACCUGAAACCGUAUGCGUACAAGCAGUGGGAGCCUACUUGUUAGGUGACUGCGUACCUUUUGUAUAAUGGGUCAGCGACUUAUAUUCAGUGGCAAGCUUAACCGUAUAGGGUAGGCGUAGCGAAAGCGAGUCUUAAUAGGGCGUUUAGUCGCUGGGUAUAGACCCGAAACCGGGCGAUCUAUCCAUGAGCAGGUUGAAGGUUAGGUAACACUGACUGGAGGACCGAACCCACUCCCGUUGAAAAGGUAGGGGAUGACUUGUGGAUCGGAGUGAAAGGCUAAUCAAGCUCGGAGAUAGCUGGUUCUCCUCGAAAGCUAUUUAGGUAGCGCCUCAUGUAUCACUCUGGGGGGUAGAGCACUGUUUCGGCUAGGGGGUCAUCCCGACUUACCAAACCGAUGCAAACUCCGAAUACCCAGAAGUGCCGAGCAUGGGAGACACACGGCGGGUGCUAACGUCCGUCGUGAAAAGGGAAACAACCCAGACCGCCAGCUAAGGUCCCAAAGUUGUGGUUAAGUGGUAAACGAUGUGGGAAGGCUUAGACAGCUAGGAGGUUGGCUUAGAAGCAGCCACCCUUUAAAGAAAGCGUAAUAGCUCACUAGUCGAGUCGGCCUGCGCGGAAGAUGUAACGGGGCUCAAACCACACACCGAAGCUGCGGGUGUCACGUAAGUGACGCGGUAGAGGAGCGUUCUGUAAGCCUGUGAAGGUGAGUUGAGAAGCUUGCUGGAGGUAUCAGAAGUGCGAAUGCUGACAUGAGUAACGACAAUGGGUGUGAAAAACACCCACGCCGAAAGACCAAGGGUUCCUGCGCAACGUUAAUCGACGCAGGGUUAGUCGGUUCCUAAGGCGAGGCUGAAAAGCGUAGUCGAUGGGAAACAGGUUAAUAUUCCUGUACUUCUGGUUACUGCGAUGGAGGGACGGAGAAGGCUAGGCCAGCUUGGCGUUGGUUGUCCAAGUUUAAGGUGGUAGGCUGAAAUCUUAGGUAAAUCCGGGGUUUCAAGGCCGAGAGCUGAUGACGAGUCGUCUUUUAGAUGACGAAGUGGUUGAUGCCAUGCUUCCAAGAAAAGCUUCUAAGCUUCAGGUAACCAGGAACCGUACCCCAAACCGACACAGGUGGUCGGGUAGAGAAUACCAAGGCGCUUGAGAGAACUCGGGUGAAGGAACUAGGCAAAAUGGCACCGUAACUUCGGGAGAAGGUGCGCCGGCUAGGGUGAAGGAUUUACUCCGUAAGCUCUGGCUGGUCGAAGAUACCAGGCCGCUGCGACUGUUUAUUAAAAACACAGCACUCUGCAAACACGAAAGUGGACGUAUAGGGUGUGACGCCUGCCCGGUGCCGGAAGGUUAAUUGAUGGGGUUAGCGCAAGCGAAGCUCUUGAUCGAAGCCCCGGUAAACGGCGGCCGUAACUAUAACGGUCCUAAGGUAGCGAAAUUCCUUGUCGGGUAAGUUCCGACCUGCACGAAUGGCGUAACGAUGGCGGCGCUGUCUCCACCCGAGACUCAGUGAAAUUGAAAUCGCUGUGAAGAUGCAGUGUAUCCGCGGCUAGACGGAAAGACCCCGUGAACCUUUACUGUAGCUUUGCACUGGACUUUGAGCCUGCUUGUGUAGGAUAGGUGGGAGGCUUUGAAGCGUGGACGCCAGUUCGCGUGGAGCCAUCCUUGAAAUACCACCCUGGCAUGCUUGAGGUUCUAACUCUGGUCCGUNNNNNNNNNNNNNNNNNNNNNNNNNNNNNNNNNNNNNNNNNNNNNNNAGAGUAUAAAGGCAAAAGCGCGCUUGACUGCGAGACAGACACGUCGAGCAGGUACGAAAGUAGGUCUUAGUGAUCCGGUGGUUCUGUAUGGAAGGGCCAUCGCUCAACGGAUAAAAGGUACUCCGGGGAUAACAGGCUGAUACCGCCCAAGAGUUCAUAUCGACGGCGGUGUUUGGCACCUCGAUGUCGGCUCAUCACAUCCUGGGGCUGAAGCCGGUCCCAAGGGUAUGGCUGUUCGCCAUUUAAAGUGGUACGCGAGCUGGGUUUAGAACGUCGUGAGACAGUUCGGUCCCUAUCUGCCGUGGACGUUUGAGAUUUGAGAGGGGCUGCUCCUAGUACGAGAGGACCGGAGUGGACGAACCUCUGGUGUUCCGGUUGUCACGCCAGUGGCAUUGCCGGGUAGCUAUGUUCGGAAAAGAUAACCGCUGAAAGCAUCUAAGCGGGAAACUUGCCUCAAGAUGAGAUCUCACUGGGAACUUGAUUCCCCUGAAGGGCCGUCGAAGACUACGACGUUGAUAGGCUGGGUGUGUAAGCGUUGU